rnacentral:rRNA from 1 species
UACAGAUGGGGCAAGCGUUGUUCGGAAUUACUGGGCGUAAAGGGCGCGUAGGCGGUCUGCUAAGCGUGCGGUGAAAGCCUGGGGCUCAACCCCAGGUCUGCCGUGCGAACUGGUGGACUAGAGCACUGUAGAGGCAGGUGGAAUUCCGGGUGUAGCGGUGGAAUGCGUAGAGAUCCGGAAGAACACCGGUGGCGAAGGCGGCCUGCUGGGCAGUUGCUGACGCUGAGGCGCGACAGCGUGGGGAGCAAACAGG